rnacentral:lncRNA from 1 species
UUUAACUGUGCCAUACAAAACGAGUAAUAGCUAACAUUUAAUCUUGCAAAUUGGAGCCUAUUAUUUUCGCCAUUUUACAAAGGAGAAAACUAAACCACGAGAAGUGAAGUAAAUUGCCCAAGUCCACAGAGCUGCGAACCCCUGGGACAUGCAGAGUCAACGAGGGACUUUCUAAAACGUACUUUUCACUGCAAUGAGGUACAUUCAAAAAGAAAGAACGGUGUAUUCAUCUCCAGAGAGCAGCAACUUCACAGACCUGCGCUCCUGCCGCUUCGAGUCCUGGUGCCCCCAGCUCAGUUCCUGAUAACUGAAGACGAAACUUGAACAGCAAAAGGGAAGUCUCCCGUCUCCCCAGGGUAUCAAAUCCUGUUUCUAGACAGUUUCAGUUCUUAAAGACACAGGAUUCCAUAUUUUCUCACCCAAUAAGCUGGAAGACAAAGAACCUCCAGUGACCACCAACCACGUUUGCAUGGCCCUGGAGUGAAAUGGAAGUGCACCACAGAGCCUUUCUGAAAUCCGGGUUUGAAAGGGGGUCAGGAUAUUUCUGAAAUGUGUCAUCAUCUUUCUCUUUAUUAACACCAAGAAUUAGUCAGGGCCAGGGGCUCAGGUAUUUGUGUAGCCAACUCCUCUCUGCCCACCUG